GAUGAACGCUAGCGGCAGGCCUAACACAUGCAAGUCGAGGGGUAGAAGACUUCGGGCUUUGAGACAGGCGCACUGGUGCGUAACGCGUAUGCAAUCUGCCUUACACUAAGGGAAAGCCCAGAGAAAUUUGGAUUAAUACCUUGUAGUAUAUUUUUGUAGCAUCACAGGAUCAUUAAAUAUUUAACGGUGUAACAUGAGCAUGCGUCCCAUUAGCUAGUUGGUAUGGUAACAGCAUACCAAGGCAAUGGUGGGUAGGGGUCCUGAGAGGGAGAUACCCCACACUGGUAAUGAGACACGGACCAGACUCCUACGGGAGGCAGCAGUGAUGAAUAUUGGGGAAUGGGCGAAAGACUGAUCCAGCCAUGCCGCGUGCAGGAUGAAGCAUAUAUGGUGUGUAAACUGCUUUUAUACAGGAAGAAACCCCUUUACGUGUAGAGGAUUGACGAUACUGUAGGAAUAAGGAUCGGCUAACUCCGUGCCAGCCGCCGCCGUAAUAC
rnacentral:rRNA from 1 species